rfam:Salmo salar isolate Sally breed double haploid chromosome ssa02, whole genome shotgun sequence.
UGCACAUAAAAUGUAAUUCGCUUUGGAUAAAAGUGUCUGCUAAAUGGCAUACA